rnacentral:tRNA from 1 species
GCCUGGUUGGCUCAGUCAGUAGAGCAUAUGACUCUUGAUCCUGGGGUUGUGAGUUUGAGCCCCAUAUUGGGUG